rnacentral:tRNA from 1 species
UUCUUCAAGAAGACAAAAAACCGCGUCGAUCCAGUUUAGGCUGGGCCGGUUCCCCGAAUGGGCCCGUAGCUCAGUUGGUUAGAGCACACGCUUGAUAAGCGUGGGGUCGGAAGUUCAAGUCUUCCCGGGCCCACCAUUCGCAUAUGCGAAUGAGGGUUAGGGAUGAUGGAAUGUGGCUGAUGCGGAACGUUGCCGAACCUGGUUUAUACCGGGUGAUCGAGCUGGAGGGGCUGUAGCUCAGCUGGGAGAGCACCUGCUUUGCAAGCAGGGGGUCAGCGGUUCGAUCCCGCUCAGCUCCACCAAAUCGAUUGGUGUUGAAGCUGACGGUAACGAAGCGAAAGCUUCGCAAGCGCAAGGCGCGUCGCCAAUCGUUUGGCGCCCCCGCGGAGCGCCUUCGGCGCGUGAGCGACAAAUUUGUCUUUUGAAGAAAUAAAAGUUUUGCAUCGGCUUAUGGCUGAUGCGUGUUCUGCAUACAUUGUGAAGAGAAGAUUGAUCUGGAGGCUUCCAGGUGUCGUGGGUUUUUAUCCAUGAUGUCCGAGCCCAGUUCCUGUGAACCCAUGGAUGGCCUAGCCGGCCGGAUGUGGUGGAGGGAUUGGAGGUAGGAAGGAAGCUUGUCACUCUGGAUUGUUCGUUGUUCGUUGCCUUUGGGCAUCGUCUGAUGAACGAUCGGAUUACCGUUGCCUGACCGCGCGGUAUCGGAUCAUAUCUCGAGAAGCUGGUCUUA